rnacentral:rRNA from 1 species
AUGCCUUAUUGCAUCACCAGGAACCCUUAUGUGACUGGUAACUCGGUGAUUGCAAUGAAAUACAAGGAUGGUGUGAUCAUGGCAUGUGAUACUGGAGCCUCCUAUGGGUCAACUUUGCGAUACAAGAGUGUGGAGCGUAUCAAGGCGGUUGGAAAGCAUAGCCUUAUUGGAGGGAGUGGGGAGUUCAGUGAUUUCCAGGAGAUUUUGCGCUAUCUGGAUGAAUUAACUUUGAAUGAUCAUAUGUGGGAUGAUGGGAACUCAUUGGGCCCCAAGGAAAUCCAUGCCUACCUGACAAGAGUAAUGUACAACAGGCGCAAUAAGUUUGACCCUCUAUGGAACUCCCUGGUGCUUGGUGGAGUGAAAAAGGGCCCAAAGGGCGAUGAGAAGUAUCUUGGCAUGGUUAACAUGAUUGGUACACACUUUGAGGAGAACCACAUUGCCACUGGAUUUGGGAACCAUAUGGCAAUCCCAAUACUUCGUGGUGAAUGGCGCGAGGACAUGACUUUUGAAGAAGCCGUUAAGCUGAUUGAGAAGUGCUUGCUGGUCCUGCUGUACCGUGACCGGUCAUCCAUCAACAAAUUCCAGAUUGCCAAGAUCACGACCGAGGGAUCAACCAUCUACCCGCCGUAUGCUCUGAAGACCAACUGGGGGUUUGCCGCCUUUGAGAACCCGUCCAAGGGUGCUGUAGGAACAUGGUAG